rnacentral:rRNA from 1 species
UACGAAGGGGGCUAGCGUUGCUCGGAAUCACUGGGCGUAAAGGGCGCGUAGGCGGCUGAUUUAGUCGAGGGUGAAAGCCCGUGGCUCAACCACGGAAUGGCCUUCGAUACUGGUUGGCUUGAGACCGGAAGAGGACAGCGGAACUGCGAGUGUAGAGGUGAAAUUCGUAGAUAUUCGCAAGAACACCAGUGGCGAAGGCGGCUCACUGGCCCGGUACUGACGCUGAGGUGCGAAAGCGUGGGGAGCAAACAGG